rnacentral:rRNA from 1 species
AUGAGUACUUGCAACUAUACUUGGGUUUCAGCCCGUCCUCCUGCUUCCCUGCUCCUCUCCUUUUUCUGUAUGCUUUUCAGCUUUAUUCUUGACUUGAUGAGAGGCAGAAACAAACAGGAUACUCUACAUUUUAGUUUCUUCCAUAGCAGUGUGAUUAGUAUGCGUGUACGUGGUGUGAUGGCAUUGCAGUUGCCAAUUCUGGACUCCCGGUUCAGAUUGCCACACCAGAGUGCUUAUCCAACCAAAUCUUGCUUACGCAAAAAACAAAUGCUAGAGUGGAAGGUACCAGACGUGCCGCAAGUUUCUUAUAUUUUUCUGCCUCUUCACAUGUAG